CUAUCCCUGGGCAGAGUGAAGGUAAAGUAAAAUUUACUGGAGGCUCGAACCGGGUAGCGUUUAAAAGCUAUCGGAUGACCUGUGGAUAGGGGUGAAAAGCCAAUCGAACUCGGAUAUAGCUGGUUCUCCUCGAAAUAGCUUUAGGGCUAGCCUUGUUUUAGAUUACAGGAGGUAGAGCACUGAAUAGUCUAGGGGAAGUAAUUCUACCGAAACUUAUCAAACUCCGAAUGCCUGAAAAUCGAUGAACAGGAGUCAGACCAUGAGGGAUAAGCUUCAUAGUCAAAAGGGAAACAGCCCAGACCACCAGUUAAGGUCCCAAAAUACAGAUUAAGUGGGAAAGGAUGUAAUACUACUCAGACAACCAGGAUGUUGGCUCAGAAGCAGCCAUACAUUUAAAGAGUGCGUAAUAGCUCACUGGUCAAGUGGUAAUGCGCCGAAGAUGAACGGGGCUAAAUCUGAUACCGAAACUGUGGGAUAGAAAAGCAAUUAUGCGAGAAGUAUGAAGUUAAAGAUCAAGGAAAUAUAUCAACUAGUAAAGUAAGAGAGAAAAGACACAAACUAAAACUAUUAAACGAUACAAUUUCUAAAAAACUUAACAACAUACAACUGGCAUAAUAGCUUUUCUAUCGGUAGAGGAGCGUUGUAUAUGAAUUGAAGCAAAAAGCGUAAGCAAUUGUGGAUUAUAUACAAGUGAGAAUGCUGGCAUGAGUAGCGAAAAGGGAUGUGAGAAUCAUCCCCGUCGAAAGCCCAAGGAUUCCUGAGCAAGGCUCGUCCUCUCAGGGUAAGUCGGGACCUAAGGCGAGGCCGAAAGGCGUAGUCGAUGGACAACAGGUAGAAAUUCCUGUACUACAAGAUUGUGAUUGAGAGAAGUACUGACGCAGAAGGAAAAGUCGAGCGUGUGAAUGGUAGAACACGUCCAAGUAACAAGCCAGAAUAUACAGGCAAAUCCGUAUAUUCGCUAACGUAAGUUAUCAUGGGGAGCAGAAAGAUGCGAAGCGACAGAUUCAAACUGCCAAGAAAAGGUGCUAUCGAAUAAUCUUGUACCCGUACCGCAAACCGACACAGGUAGGCAAGAAGAGAAUUCUAAGACGCGCGGAAGAACCUUUGUUAAGGAACUCGGCAAAAUAAUCCCGUAAGUUAGCGAGAAGGGAUGCCUAAGAAAUUAGGUCGCAGAGAAUAGGCCCAAGCGACUGUUUACCAAAAACACAAGUAUCUGCUAAAUCGAAAGAUGAAGUA
rnacentral:rRNA from 1 species